UCCUUCAGCCUGCACCAAGAUGGAAGUGGGCGAGCGGAGCAAGUGCGCCUUCAGGGCGAUGUUCCCGGCCUUCGGGGCCGGCCGCGGGCCCGUCCGCUCGUCGCUGGUGUGCCAGCAGCCGGUGGUCGUGCUGUCGGUGGAGAGGUACCCGCGGGAUCCGGGGAGCGGGGACGGCCUGUGGGAGGCGCCGGGCGAGGGCGACCUGUACGACCUGAGCCUGUCGGAGGGCCACUGCCGCCUCCGGGUGGUGCUGCGGCCGUCCCUCAACUGGACGGUCCGCCGCAACCUGCUGAGCAGCGGCUGCGAGCUGAGCAACGUCCGCCUCGCUCUGGAGUACGACGAGCGGCGCCUGGGAGUUGGCUUACUGGUCUUCGUGCUGCUGGAGGCCCAGGUCGUCGCCAGGGGAGACUGCAAGGCGCCACCUGCCGCCCGGAGGCUGAGACUGCAGAAGCUGCACGUGUUCAACGAGGGCACUGAGCUGCCCAUUGGCCCAGAGCUGCCCAUUAAAGCCAAGAGGCGCUACUACCUUUCUCUGUGGGAUGCUGCCAACUACUACGGGGAGGCUUGGCACCGACACCCGCCUGGGCAGCCCGCUCAGCGACUUGAAGGAUCUUAUAGCAUUGAUGUAAGACAGCUAGAAGGUUACAUCCAGAAAAAGAAAAAGGAUCUUCCACCAGUGAUUGUUCGUGUCCUCCGCAAGUUCAGACUUUGUCAUUUUGGACGGCCUGACAGAUAUUCAGAAUGUCCAUUUCAGGCCAAAUUUCUAGUAGCUGAUAAGUCAGGCUCAGCAACAGUUGUGUUGUGGAACUCCCUGUGUAUGGAUUGGUACAGACAUCUAGAACCAGGGAUGGUGGUGCAUCUGCGCAACUAUGUUGUGAAGAAAAGUUACACCACACGUAUGGGGCAAAACCCUGAAGUUUCAAAGGAGCCAGCACUAGAGCUAAAUUUAAACCCAAGGAAUCCAGCAGCUGAAAUUACCGUGAUCAAUGACGAGGAUGUUAGAGAAGAGUGGCACUUACCAGCGCUGCAGUAUUGCUUUGUCACCAGGAAGGAACUAUCAGAACUUGCCUCUGGCAAUUUGUGCAGUAUCAUUGGCUAUGUUACUUUUGUCGGUAGACAGGAACGCAUUCGAAUCAAAGAGCGACCUGACGAAUUCCUGGUUUACCGCUGGCUGCACCUGAUUGAUGGAACAUCCUCAGAACCUUUUGUCCUGAAGCUUUUCUCAACCUCUCAGCCCGAGAUUCAGAGUCAGAUAUCCCCGUGCAGCAUAGCAGACAAUACCGUGACCUUGCUUGUGUGUACGAAUGUCAUACUGGAAUGCAAAACGAUCAAUCCCAGUGGGGAAAGAAAAGCAUUUCCUUACCUGCAAAGCACAGCAUACAGCCAGGUAUAUGUCAAUGGCCAUCAUCACGGGAAAUUAUAUGUGAAAAACCCAAAGGUAAAGGAGUUUAUUAAUUGGAUACAAUCUGCCAAGGAUCAAGAAAGGGACACGUUAAGUCAAACUCAGAUUGGUGGAUGUUACACCUAUCCUCCCCUUCCUUCCAGUGAGCGGGAUUAUCGACGUGAAAUACUUGGUAUGUCUCCCUUGACUACGAUGUCUGAGCUGAAGCAGUGUAUGAAUCAGCUGGAGUACCGAGAGUAUAGGCAGGUCACCAUCCAGGGACGAAUCAAAUCUGUAAAAUACCAGAUACUGGGCAAAAUGGAUGAGGAGUUCACUGAAGUCUAUAAUGCUGUUGGAGGAACUGAGGAGUAUGAAGAAUUGCUUGACGCUGACCAGCCAUUUCAGCGCACAAGAGGAAACAAAAGUCCUGUAAUCCCUAUCGUGAGUGGACCUCCUCCGAAGAAACAAGCUGGCUUAUCACAGAAAAGAAAAAGAAAAGGUGUAUUCUGCGAGAAAAAAUGUACACUAGUGAGACUCUGUAGGGAUACAGGAUCAGCUCGGGUGGAAGAGAACGCAGCUCACCAUCCACGAAAGCACGAGAAGGACGUGAACCGUGAUGCAAGUCCUGGGAAAGCCCUCAACUUCAUAAAAGCAUGUGAGGAGUUCUACACAGACUCUGAUGAUGUGGAGGAGACUCCAAGUGCAAUGAGCUUAGCCCAGCCCAUCUUCUCUCGGAUUGAUUGCUCAUCACAGCGAGAGCAUAUUGCCCAUCGGGGAGACGUUUCCCAAAUGGUAGCUCGUUGCUUCCACUUCAGAGACAAGUCCUUCCUCCUCAAAACCUUUGGUCUCCAGCCGUCCAAUUUUUCUGGAAUCCCAGCAGGUCAGACUGAGGAUCUGGAACAAUGUGAACCAGCAUGUUGCUAUGGAUACUACACUGUGACCAUUUUAGGACUGAAUGAAGAACUGUCUUUAGAUGCCAUCUUUCUCCCUAUCGUUUCCAGGUUGGAUCACCGAGCUAUGCAUCCUGCCAAGCACAGCAACACUCUGAUCUCCAUUUUGGCUCAUGGAGGGCUAGCAUUUAGCCAGACCUGCCACACUGGCACAGAUUGCUCAACACCUUCCCCUGGUGACAUUCUCAGAUCUGCAGCCGGUCUGGAGGAAAUGCUGUUCAUCUUUAUCCUCGAUAUCUGCAAUCAGGGAGGCACCAAUGUUGAAGUCGUCGUCAAUCGUGCCUAUGUCCAGCACAGAGCUCUCUGAACCAUUCAGGCUCUUUGUUGUUUCCUUUGAAUUCCCCCAACAAUAUUUGCUCAGACUGGAUCGAAUAUGCAGUUCUGAGUUUACAUUGGAAUUUUAGUUUUGUUUGAUUUUUUUACUUAAAAGAAAAAAGCUUUGUUCCUAUGGAACUGUAUCAAUUUCUGUCAUCUCUUCCCAUUGCUGCGAGUUAAGACCCUAUUGGUGAACAAAGACCUUUCUCAUAACCUCCCCCUCAAGAUGUAUACUCAAGUGUUUGAUGGCAAUCAUGUGGAGAGAACCUUAUUACUAAAGGUAUCCUGUACCUAUCCCUCACUGACUCAGCGGUGUUCAUUCACCAGCAGUUCAGUGACGGAAAAGAUUUUUCAUAAUUCCUCUGCGUGCGACCUGCUGUGUGAAGAUUUAUUUCUAUGUAUUGACAUUCUGACUAAAGGCUCAGGUUUCAUUCCUGUCAAAUUCUGAGCUGGCUGAUUUGAACCACUGACCCAGAUCGAAGAGUGAAGCAGGUUUGGGUGAAGCAGCUUCUUUUUAAAAAAGUUAUCUAGGAUUGAUCUACAUGAACAGGAAGAGAAAUGGGAAUUGGUGCUGGGUGACUUCUGAGGCCCAAAUGGGCGAGAAAGUCGUCAACUGGCACAAAUUCUAUUCUAAGCGUUAACAAAUGACAUGCUGAAAGCAUUGUGGUUGUUGGCACUGCUUGAGGACAAGGUAUCAGACAACACUAAUUAAGAAAUAGCUAAUAGUUGCUAAUCAGCUGUCACACAGCAGGAGACUUCUAACUCAUUUAAACUUAAUAGUUACCCAGGAAAAAAGAGUAGAUUUUAAUUUAACUUGUGGUUAACUGUCAAGCUCUAGUUCAUCCCAACAUUUCCAGGCUUGAGACCGAUCCAUCUACUUACCAGGCUCCCUAUUCCACCUUUACCAUAUUACACAAUAAAAGUCACAAUGGGAGAGUUUGGGAAGCACUGUCCUCAAAAAAGUUGCAAAACCUUAAAUGAAUUUUGAAUUGCAAUAUGCAGUGCACUGAGAAUUCAAAAGAACAGUAAGUCAAAAAAAAAAAGGCAGUAUGUUAAUGAAAUUCUUUCACUUUUAUUUUUCACAUUUGGAAUUCAAUAUAGAGCAAACAAACCAGGACAUUACGUUUUAUGAUUCUUGCACAGCAGGGGUCUUCAAAUUUACCAUGUGCUCCUGCAAUUUGCUGCAAGCGUCGAGCCAUAUUGGAGCAGCACACGCAAUAUUGGCAAAAUAGUAUUGGAACCUGCCAAUAUUUAUGUGCUGCUAAAGUAGAGUCGACAGAAUGCUCCAUGAUUCCCUUGUUCCAGCACCCUGGUUGUUGAAUCUCUCCAUCCAGGGAACUGACAGCAUAAAUUACAACUAAUCCCACAUCUUUAAAAUAUGUAUUAUAACAGAGAUAAUGUGAAACAAAAAGUUAAACCAAGCUAUUAGAGGAACCUCAAUUAUCUGGCAUUCGAUUAUCCAAAUGAAAUACUCCCUGCCCACAUACUUCGGAUGAUAGAGGUUCCUCUGUACUGCAAAUCACGUCAGAUUCAAGCUUCAUCUUAGUUUUCUAUUCUUUCCUUCAGCCCCUGGUGAACCUUGCAUUGUGCAUUUUAGUGCUCCACCUCAAGAAACAUUUCAAACCACAUUUACUGCAUGUUUUGAAGUUCUCCUGAAGUUGAUCAAGGCACAGCAUUUAGAUAAAAUGACUAGCAAAAAUUAUAUAAAACAAAUACAAAUUCCAACAAAUUGUUCCAGACACAGGGAAAAAACCCACUACCUAUGCAUAUCUGUGCACAAUAUGGAUACAAGUACCACUUUGGGAUAAGCCUGUAAGUUUAAUGCAGUGUAAACUAAAAUAAGUAGAGUUCUAUGUAUACAUAUAAGACUGCAGAUAGCACAUACCUCCAAGUGAAGUGUGGCUGCAUACAGUUUAAAUAGAGUGGAUAUAAAGUUUAGUACUUGUAGCACAUUUAGAUUUGCAAAAGGUGCCACAACAAAGGUUAUUAUACAAGAUAAUUGCUUUAUGGUAUUUAAGGAUGAUAUACUACCCUGAACCUCGGUGAACCAAAGGUAAUUUUCAGGAUAGCAAACUAACGAGUCAAGAGUCAUAUAGUACAGAAAUGGACCCUCCAAUUCAUCCAUGCUGACCAACUUUGCCAAAGAGUUUGAUUUGCUUACAUUUGGCCCAUAUCCCUCUGAAUCUGUCCUAUUCAGAUACAACAUUUAAAAUAUUUUGAUAGAAUCAACUGCCAGAGGAAAUGGCACCUAAAUAUGAACCCCACAGAUCAGUGUUGUGCCACAAUUAUUUAUGAUUUUAUUAAUGGCUUUGAAUAAGAGAUCAUCAUUGUAUUCUCAGCAAAUUCGGGUACAUUAGAGGAGAAUCAAAGAGACUGGAAAGGGAUACAGGUAACUUACAGGGAAGUGACGGCUAAUGGUCUUAUCACUAGACUAUUAAUCCAGACCUGGGUUCAAAUCUGCAAUGAAUUUGAAUUCAGUAAAGGUUUGGGAUCAAGAGAUCAACAAUACCCAUGAAAAUCAUUGUUAAUUGUCAAGAAGAACCCAUCUGGCCCAUCAUUACCUCAUCUGACCUACACAUGACCUGAAGAAGGGUUACACCCAAAAUGUCAACUUUUCCACCUCCCGCUGCUGCAGGCUGGCUGUGUUCUUCCAGCCAUGUAUCUGUCUACUUUGGAUUCCAGCAUCUGCAGGUUUUUGUCUCUACGUAUGACUCCAGCAAUGUGGCUGACUCUUAACUGCCAUCUGGGUAAUUAAUAAUACUGGCCUAACAUGUCAAAACCCACAUACCAUAACUGAAUAUAUUUUUAAGAAGUAGACUUUUUAAAGUCGGGGGUGAAAAAGAAAAACAAUCAGUAGAUGGACGAUAUCCUCAUUGGAAGAAAGAACAGAACAGGAGGAUAUUAUUUGAGAGAAACUAUAAAACACUGCAUUAUAAAAUGAUCUGGGAGGCCUUAAGUCAUAAAAUGUCAGCAUUCAAAUACAAGGAAAUUAGGAAGGCAAAUAGAAUAUUAAUUUCUGUAAAGAGAUUGAAGCAGAAAAUUGAUGACACAUCAAUGUAGUGCACAUUGAUGACACCACAGCUUGAAUGCCACAGUGUUUUGGUCAUUACUUUUGGUGGCCCAUGUGUGUGUUGGAAACAAUUUGAAGGUGCACUAGACUGAAUCCUGAGAUGAAGGAUUUAUCUUAGGAGGAAGGGCUGAGCUAAUUGAGCCUAUACCAAUUGGAGAUAAGAACAAAAGAUUAUUUUAUUAAAACAAGAUUCUGAGCAGGUUUGAAAAUAGGGGGGGUCUACAAUUUAAGAGAGGUGAAAAGGAAUUUCUUCUCUCAUUGGGUCAUUUGUCUUUAGAAAUUACUUCUCCAGCCAGCAAAAAAAUCUUGUCACUGAAUAUAUCCAAAGCAAAGUUGGACCGAUGUUUAUGUGACAAGGAAAUCAAUGGGAAACAGACAAGAAAGUAGAUUCAGGGUCUUAAUCAGAUUACCUAAGAUCUAACUGAAUAGCAGCCUCACAGCGCCAGAGACCCGGGUUCAAUUCCCGACUCAGGUGAUUGACUGUGUGAAGUUUGCACAUUCUCCGUGUCUGCGUGGGUUUCCUCCGGGCACUCCGGUUUCCUCCCACAGUCCAAAGAUGUGCAGGUCAGGUGAAUUGACCAUGCUAAAUUGCCCGUAGUGUUAGGUAAAGGGGUAAAUGUAGGGGUAUGGGUGAGUUACGCUUCGGCGGGUCGGUGUGGACUUGUUGGGCCGAAGGGCCUGUUUCCACACUGUAAGUAAUCUAAUCUAAUCUAGCAGAGCUUGAGAAUCUAAAUAGCCAAUUCGAGCUCCUAUUUCAAAUGUUAUGAAGAACUAUGUUUUUACAUAGGUAUGCAAGUUAAAAUUAUUGUUCACAGAAUUCCAUCCAUCCUGUGGAAUGUUGGAGAUGUGGGAUGGAUCUUCAGUUGUUUCAUCAAGGACUUGCCCUUGCAUAUAGUGAGAAGUGGGUUGUUCACUGAUGAUUUGAAAGUGUUUGGUAUCAUCUGUAAUGACUCAGGUACUGAAGCAAUCCAUUUCCAAAUAAAGCAAAAGUCCUGGACAAUAGCCAGGUUGUCUGAAAAAUGCCCACAAAGGUCUGGUAAACACCAUCGCCAAGAGAAUCUAACUAUUGGCCCUUGAUGUUCGACAGUAUUACCAAUGAACUUCCCAUCAUCAACAUCCUAAAGAUUAUGGUUGGCCAGAAACUGAACUGGACCAGCCACUUAAAAACUCUGGCUCCAAAGAGCAGGUCAGAGGCUAGAAAUUCUGAAGUAAUUCACCUCUCAACUCACCAAAGAAUAUCUGCCCACAAGAUACAAAUCAGAAAUGUGAUGAAAUACUCUCCACUUGACUGGUGAGUGCAGCUCCCAAGCAUAACACCAACCAGGAAGAAUCCACUGAAAUGGCACCAUUAUCCACAAACCUUCACCAGUGAGGCACCAUUCCACAGGAUGCAGUGCAAAAAUUUACCAAGGCUACAUAGAAAGCACUUUGAAAACCCAAGACCACCACCACCCAGAAAGACAAGGGCAGCACAUACAUGGAAAUACCACUACUUGCAAUUUCCCCUUCAAACCCCACACCACCCUGACUUGAAAAGAUACUGCCAUUCUUUCAGUUACUGGAUCAAAAUCCUGGAACUACCUCUUAACGGCACAGUUGACUUUAGCAGUCAAGGCGAAGCUCACCACCAUCUUCUUCAGGGCAAUGAGGCAGUGAAUCCCGCAUCCCAUGAGUGAAGAAAAACAUUCAAGACUGAGAUGAGGAGGAAUGUCUUCUCAGAGCAUUGAGAGUCUUUGUAACUCCUUGCCACAGAGACUUGGAGAGGAUUAAGUCCUUAUGUAUACUUAAGCAUUAGAUACACAAAUUCUUGAUCAUUAGGGGAAAAUAAAUGGUUCAAUGGAAAAGAUAGCAAAGUGGACAUGAGGAAUGUUGGAUCAACCAUAAUCCUGUUCAAUGGCAGAGCAGGUUCUAAGGCCAAAACUGCCUAUCCUGUUCCUAUUUCUUAUGGUCUAAGACUGGAUAAAAAUCUUCGUCCUGAAGUGUAUUGUUGCAGAUAUGCGUUCCUCAGUGGGUUGCAGCAUAAUAAACAAGGAGGAACAAACCUUUUCCAGAAGGCUUACUAUCGGUGACUGAGUGUCAUCAGCACUGAUUGCAAAUACUAAUCCACCCCAAUUCUGCUGCUUGAUUUGCAAUGUUAAUUUUUACUCCUAUCAAAAUUUAGACAUUUUGUAUUAUAGUUGUAAAUGAAAUGGUACACUGAAUUCUAUGCAAAUAAACAC